AACGAUGGAUAUCUUGGUUCCCAUAACGAUGAAGAACGCAGCGAAGUGCGAUAAGCAAUGCGAAUUGCAGAACCGUGAGUCAUCAGAUCUUUGAACGCAACUGGCGCC
rnacentral:rRNA from 1 species